rnacentral:lncRNA from 1 species
CCUUCUCUAAACCUCUGUAUGUCACAGCAUUCUAGACCUCUCUGUGGAAAGAUCCCUUCACUCAGAAUAAACCAUGAAAUGGAUUUGAGAGAGUCCUUUUUUAGAACAGUUUGCACAUAGGGAAAGGGGUGUCCGGUGUUCUGACAUGUUACUGUGAAAGUAAGCAGGGUGUUGGUUCCAAGAAUUUGGAAGGGGCUAAUAUCUGUCUGCUUAAUGCAAGAUAGUCGAGAUCCCCCUGAUCUGGGAUCCAAAGCCCUGCAAAUUAAAAAAAGAGCUGAUGUGUUACAUUCCUUAUCCCUUGCUUGCAGGCCCUGACCAUCUACCAGCGCUCCCUCACAACCAUGCAGAUCCAGAUCCAGGGCCUCAUGCAGUUUGCUGUGCCCCUUUUCCCCACAGCGGAGAAAGAUCUGCUUGGCAUACAGCAGCUACUGAACUACUCCGAGACCAGCCUCCACCAGCUAACUGCCAUGUUGGACUGCAGGGGUCUGCACAAAGUAAGCAGCCUAAGGCACUGCGCGCUUUGGGGGCGUGGGUGAUUGCUACCUGUUGGCACUUCCCCUGCUCUCUGUGUUUCCCUUCCGCCUGCUAAAGGAUUACCUGGAUGCCUUGAUCGGGAUCUGCUACGAUGGUGUGGAAGGGUUGCUCUACCUCAUUCUCUUCUCUCUCUUGGCUGCUGUGUCCUUCUCCACCAUCAUCUGUGCUGUGCCGCGUGCCUGGAGGCACUUAGCCCACAGGUAAAAUGAGCUAGUUUUCCAGGAAUUUCCACACACUGGAGCAAGUAGCCUUGCUAAUUACGGAGGGUUUAAAAAAUGGGGGAAAGCGCACGAGCCAUUGGCAUUGCAUGUCUCUGUAUUCUGGUUCCUCUGAAACAGUAACCAGAAUCGUGGGUUCUAGAUCUCUUCAUCCUACCACAGCACAUGCUAGAACUUUGCAGAUGAAGGAUUUCCGUGAAAGAGCCUGCAGAACAGUCCCAGAUUUUCUAGUUAGACUAGCAGCCUAGUCCAGCUAGCCUGACUU